GCUCCACAACGCCCCUGGACCUGGCUGGCUGAGGCCUUGAGAGACCUGUUGCGGUGGGAGAUGUCCCUGCCUAUGGCAGGGCGUUGGAACUGGCUGAGCUUUGAGGUCCCUUCUGACCUAAAGCAUUCUGUGAAGGCCUCUCCUCUCUACAAGAGACACCUCAAAGACACUUUUGGAGCUUCUGGAGAUGGACUCAUGCAAGAAGAGACCCAGGGCAGAGGUAGAUCUGCCUCCUCAUCGACCCUCCUGACCACGCUGGGCUGCUGCAUCCCUGCGAGAAGACGACAACGGUAACAGUGGAGUUGAAAUGAGCUGGCCCAGCAGCCUGGCAAGCUGAGCCUUCAGGCUGUGCAAUGGAGAGGACUCUGCUGCUGCCCUUGGGAGGUGAUUCCAAUCUCUGACUGUUCUCAAGGGGAAAAAUUGGCUUCUGGAGUCCAUUGGAAUCUCCCCAGCAGUAACAUGUCCACAUCACCUCUUGUCUUUUUCAUAGAACUCC